CCCCUAGUAACUGCGAGUGAAGCGGGAAGAGCUCAAAUUUAAAAUCUGGCGGCUUCUAGUCGUCCGAGUUGUAACCUGGAGAGGCAUUUUCCGCGUUGGACCGUGUACAAGUCUCCUGGAAUGGAGCGUCAUAGAGGGUGAGAAUCCCGUCCAUGACACGGACCGCCAAUGCUCUGUGAUAUGCCUUCGAAGAGUCGCGUUGUUUGGGAAUGCAGCGCAAAAUGGGUGGUAAAUUCCAUCUAAAGCUAAAUAUUGGCGAGAGACCGAUAGCGAACAAGUACCGUGAGGGAAAGAUGAAAAGCACUUUGGAAAGAGAGUUAAACAGUACGUGAAAUUGUUGAAAGGGAAGCGCUUGAAGUCAGUCGCGUUCCGUGGAACUCAGCCUUACCUCGGUUUGGUGUACUUUCCAUUUGAACGGGUCAACGUCAAUUUUGGCCGGUGGACAAAGACAAGGGGAAUGUAGCGUUGCUUCGGUGACGUGUUAUAGACCCUUGUUGUAUACACCGGUUAGGAUUGAGGACUGCAGCACGCCCUUGUGGCCGGGGGUUCGCCCCACGUAACGUGCUUAGGAUGUUGGCAUAAUGGCUUUAAGCGACCCGUCUUGAAACACGGACCAAGGAGUCUAACAUGCUUGCGAGUGUUCGGGUGGAAAACCCUUGCGCGUAAUGAAAGUGAAAGUUAGGAACCUUCUCGCAANAGAGGGUGCACUGACGCCCGGCCCUGACGUUCUCUGACGGUGCUGCGGUAGAGCAAGUGCGUUGGGACCCGAAAGAUGGUGAACUAUGCCUGAAUAGGGCGAAGCCAGAGGAAACUCUGGUGGAGGCUCGUAGCGAUUCUGACGUGCAAAUCGAUCGUCAAAUUUGGGUAUAGGGGCGAAA
rnacentral:rRNA from 1 species